CCUACGGGUGGCAGCAGUCGAGAAUCAUUCACAAUGGGGGAAACCCUGAUGGUGCGACGCCGCGUGGGGGAAUGAAGGUCUUCGGAUUGUAAACCCCUGUCAUGGGGGAGCAAAUUAAAAAGAUAGUACCACAAUAGGCAGAUACAGCUAACUCUGUGCCUGCAGCCGCGGUCAUACAGAGGUCUCAAGCGUUGUUCGGAAUCACUGGGCGUAAAGCGUGCGUAGGCUGUUUAGUAAGUCGUGUGUGAAAGGCGCGGGCUCAACCCGCGGACGGCACAUGAUACUGCGAGACUAGAGUAAUGGAGGGGGAACCGGAAUUCUCGGUGUAGCAGUGAAAUGCGUAGAUAUCGAGAGGAACACUCGUGGCGAAGGCGGGUUACUGGACAUUAACUGACGCUGAGGCACGAAGGCCAGGGGAGCGAAAGGGAUUAGAUACCCCUGUAGUC
rnacentral:rRNA from 1 species